rnacentral:lncRNA from 1 species
CUCCAUUUAAAUAAUUAAUUUAAAGGUUAAUAUAUAAUUAAAUUAAUCAAGCUCAAUUUAAAUUAAUAAUUAAGAGCUCAAAUAAUUUAAAUAGAUAUAAGCCCAAAUUAAUUAGAUAAAUUAAGUCUAUCAUGUUUUUCUUUGAAUAAGGCCCAAACAAUUAAAUUAAAAUAGGCCCAAAUCCUUUAAUUAAAUCGGCCCAAACAAUUUAAUUAAAUCGGCCCAAGAAUUUAAUUAAAUCGGCCCAAGAGUUUAAUUAAAUCGGCCCAAGAAUUUAAUUAAAUCGGCCCAAGAGUUUAAUUAAAUCGGCCCAAGAAUUUAAUUAAAUCGGCCCAAACAAUUUUAAAAAAAAUCGGCCCAUACCCGGCCCAGUUGAAGAAGGCCCUCUCCUCUCUUCCUCUUUAUUUCUCACGCCUCUCUAUCUCUAUCACUCUACCGACAUUCACUCUUCUCUCUCUCACAAUAUCGGUUCUCUCCCUCAAAAUCAAGAAACGGACACUGUUCAUCAUCUCUCUCUCUCGCUCGAUCCAGCCGCCUCUUCUCCCUCCAAGAUCUGCCGCCGCCGCCUGCUCUAACCUCGGCGAGAAUCGCCGGCUCCGACGCCUCCCUCACUCAUCGCCUCCUCCUUCUCACCUCAACCUCUAUCUCUCUCGCUCUCUCGGCCGCUGGACCCAGGCGCAGCAGACACCACCACCGCGGUGUGCCGCCAUCGCCGGGCCGCCGCCUGCUCCCUCAUCCUCGCGGCAGAUCCGCCGCCGCCGUUCAACGCCACGGCCGCCUGGAGCUGCUGCUGUUCGCCUGGGGUCGACGGAUCUGGCCUUCGGUCGUUC